AAAAAAAAACCACAUUAAAUGAAUGGAAAACAACUGUCAAAUUCCUGACUUGGUACUUGUAUGACAGGGGCAAAUAAUUCCAAAUAAUUUGUUUUGACAAUAAAAUAUUUACAUAAGUCAUAAAAACUUGAAUAAAUAUUUAACAAAAAAACCUUUUCUUAACAUAUAACCAUUAUGACAAAGUAACCAGGGGCGUAGCUAGGUAUUCAGUCAACUGUAGGCACCAAUCGGCAGGGGGUCUGGGGGCCGCUCAAGGCCCCGAGCAGAUCCAGGGCUCUGUCGGAAAAUGAUUUUUAGCGUUGUAGCUGCAAAAUUUUAUGUACAAAAAUAUUAAAUUUACUGGUUAUUUAAUCAUGAAAAUUAUAAUAUACAUGAUGAAAAGUUCAAAGAAUUAUGAAUAAUUUACCAUAACAUCUGACUGGUAAAUUAAAUAACGCAGUACAAUCGGAAAUAUUAAAAAAAAAAAAAUUACAAUAUGCAUUGCCCAUGCAGCGUAGAUCAGCGUAUCCCUUUAAUUAAGCAGUACACCCUUUUUGGUAUUUUCAUAUCUAUUCGUUCUGACUGAUAUAUAC
rnacentral:lncRNA from 1 species